UACGUGGGGGGCAAGCGUUGUCCGGAUUUAUUGGGCGUAAAGAGCGUGUAGGCGGCCUGAAAGGUCAGCUGUGAAAACUCGAGGCUCAACCUCGAGACGUCGGUUGAAACCAUCUGGCUAGAGUCCGGAAGAGGAGUGUGGAAUUCCCGGUGUAGCGGUGAAAUGCGCAGAUAUCGGGAAGAACACCCGUGGCGAAGGCGGCACUCUGGGACGGUACUGACGCUGAGACGCGAAAGCGUGGGGAGCGAACAGG
rnacentral:rRNA from 1 species